UGCGGGUCUACAAAAAGCAUCAAUUCGCUUAAAACUUAUUUCGAUAUUAUUAAGUGCAUAAGUUUUUCGUUGAUUUUGUUAGUCAAAUCUAUCGUUCUCAAAGAAGCAAAGUAACAUGCAAAAUAUUCGACUUAAUCCAUCUAAAAAACCCUUUGUGGCAUCCUUGUUACCUAGCAGAUGUUAUGUGAUCCAGUAAAGGUUAUUUUUGUACCAUUUUGACCUCCUGAAAUGAAGUAUUUUGAGAUGAGACUAACCAUGUAAAUUCACACGUGGUCAAAUGUUUGAAUUCACCCCUGCCUUAUUUAGCUAAAAUAAAUAUCAUUAUACAGAUCUUUUCAUGAAAAUAAUAAGCCUUUAUCCAUACAGCAGAAUUUAGAUCGGUAGAUAAUUCAUUCUCACAAGACUAGAGGCAGUGUACUUCUCGAAACAUGGCAAAAUCUCCACUGUGAGACUCCAAAAUUUAGAUCUCGCUGUCAGAAUCCUGUGUGAAUUCUGUGUCUUUACGCACUGUUUCCUGUCAUUUUUUAACAAAACGAUCCUCUCAUGGGCUGUGAUUAUCCUAUCUAGAGCUAUCAUGUCAGGUUUUCUAAUUAUCUUUCCUUACCAAGCCUUAAAAGUGAGGAAAUAAUGGAAAUAUUGCGAUUUUUAAUCGCUAUCGGGUCUUCAAGAAUUCAACAUGGCGAUCACGUGAGACAAAUCAUUUCACUACAAGGCACUGUUCUAUUGUUUGGUUGCUAGGAGAUGUGCAAAAGAGCUCAUUUGAUUGGUCAAUUCUUUGUCAUGCUACAGCUGAAUUUUCAAAAGCUUUACUCGCCGGGGAGGGGAGCUAGAGGGGUUGUUCUCGCGCUCGCAAAAGCUGGGCGGUGCAGGGCGGUAUAGGGAAAUAUGAAAGUUUUUCCGCCGGGCGUUUCAGGGCGGUAUGGGAGCGAAUGGGUUAGGAAGUUAUUCAAAGAUUUUUUUAUAAUGGGUUAAAAAUACCCUGUUGCUUUCAAUAUGUCAAUUGUCUCGUAAAUAAUUUCGAAAGGGUGAUCAAAAUCUUCCUUUGAUACAUUGGUAGUCUGCCGCCAUGGUUUGGGGCAAGACUUAAUAAAGAUCUUGGAUGUUUUCCUUGCUCUGUGCACACAUAUUUCAAUGAUAAGCACUGCCCACUUGGAUUGUUUGAAGAUUACAGAAAAACUAUCCAAUAAAGGAUUUCCUUAAAAAGAAACCAGUACUUUGACAUAUCAAGUUAAAGUACAGCAACCAAGAAACCCAACACUAAAAAACAAUUAGCAACUUCCAACGAACUCCUACAUACCUCUAACUAUGGCUUACGUUACACCGUCAAAGUCGCCCAAGCGAGUUAACUAUUUCUCUCACUUCCCUCACUAUUUUUUGCGCCCAUACAAGGGGCAACCUAGGGUCACAUUGGGCGAGUUCAGCAAAGCGCUGAAUACAAGAAAUUGUGAAUGGCUGUUAAGGCAAGCCGUGGCGCUUUCUGAACUGGCCCAAAAUGUCAACGAAAAUCUAGAGACUAUAACGAACACUGACAUUUUACGAAACAUAGACCCAAUUACGGAAAAAACUACUGCCUUUACAACAAACAUUAAAGAACCUGGACACUACGGACAAGCAGUCAUCGGCGACUGCAAAUGAUAUAUAUGACAUCACGUCAUUUGCAGUCUCCGAUGAUGACGAACUUGACAACAUUCUAGAAGUGGCCAUGCAGGCCUCUUCCGGACUUUAUGCAGUCACUUGCCAGCUAAUGGCUCUGCGGUCGCUUUUCCGCGACCCAGAGUCAUUCGCGGAUAGGCUGCAUAGCGAGGAAAAGGCUUGCAUGGCCUUUAAGACAUCAAAGAAUGUUGCCUCCUUGCAAGGGAUGCUUCAAAGCCUCUCUUGCAAGGACGCAACUAACACGAUGACUACAACUGGACGACGGAAUUUAAUGGACCAACUCGCUAACCCUAAUGCACCUGUUGCUGCAACCCCUCGGCCAGCAAGUGAUGUUGUUGCCAAUCAAAGACCAGGUACAAGUGCGGCAACAGCACCACUUGCUGGCAUGGACCCCCAACUAGCUAAUUUAAUACUGGGGUUGCAGCAAAAGGUGGAGGACCUUACGAGACUAAACAGACAACAAGACCUUGACAAACAACACGGUGACAACGACGACGCCCCUGUGGGAGCGGAAAAUAGUGAGGGAACGGAAGAAAUACCACAACGACCAAAAAAGAAAAGGAAGAAGGCAAAGGCGUUAGAUUAACACAUUAUUACUACAUUAUGCACACAUUAUUUAGCUAUUUUAAAUACUUCUAACAAUCUCCAAUUUUUUCAUUCAUUAUAAUAAAAGAAACAAAAAAACAAACAAAAAAUAUAACAUUCAUGCUCAAAUUACUAUAUCAGUCGAAUAACAAGGCACAAUUCAUGAAAGAAAGAAAUAUGUUUUCAAUGUUUCAAAAUUUUUACUAUCAUGUACAUAUACAGUUAAUUAUACAAUCUUUACAAUUUGUACAAAUUACAUUCACUUUUUACAAUUACAAGAAUAACAUUAUCAAUAGCGAUAUGACUGGAUAGAACUAUAAAACAAAUGUACAUCUUAUUUAUAACAAAAUUAUAGCAUUUUUCUUAAUUACAAUAAUAACAACUAUGAAUACAUAUAUGACUGUGGAGAGAACUAUAUAAUCGAAUAACAAAUGUAUAUCUUAUGUUAAAUACAUGGUUAAACGUA